UACGUAGGUGGCAAGCGUUGUUCGGAAUUAUUGGGCGUAAAGGGCGCGUAGGCGGCCGAUCAAGUCGGGGGUGAAAGCCUGUGGCUCAACCACAGAAUUGCCUUCGAUACUGUUUGGCUUGAGACCGGAAGAGGUUAGUGGAACUGCGAGUGUAGAGGUGAAAUUCGUAGAUAUUCGCAAGAGCACCAGUGGCGAAGGCGGCUGACUGGUCCGGUUCUGACGCUGAGGCGCGAAAGCGUGGGGAGCAAACAGG
rnacentral:rRNA from 1 species